UACAGAGGUGCGAGCGUUGUCCGAAAUCACUGGGCGUAAAGGGCGCGUAGGCGGCCUGCUAAGUAGAGGGUGAAAUCCUGCGGCUCAACCGCAGGGCUGCCUUCUAAACUGUCAGGCUGGAGCACGGUAGAGGCAGAUGGAAUUCCCGGUGUAGCGGUGGAAUGCGUAGAGAAUCGGGAAGAACACCAGUGGCGAAGGCGGUCUGCUGGGCCGUUGCUGACGCUGAGGCGCGACAGCGUGGGGAGCAAACAGG
rnacentral:rRNA from 1 species